rnacentral:snoRNA from 10 species
UUGCAAUGAUGACUUGGAUCUGUCAAUCCCGUGAGUGCACUCAUUGAAGUCAACCUGUCCCUGAGCAA